GACGAACGCUGGCGGCGUGCCUAAUACAUGCAAGUAGAACGCACAGUUUAUACCGUAGCUCGCUCCACCAUAGACUGUGAGUUGCGAACGGGUGAGUAACGCGUAGGUAACCUGCCUGGUAGCGGGGGAUAACUAUUGGAAACGAUAGCUAAUACCGCAUAAUAUUGAUUAUUGCAUGAUAAUUGAUUGAAAGAUGCUAUUUCAUCACUACCACAUGGACCUGCGUUGUAUUAGCUAGUAGGUGAGGUAACGGCUCACCUAGGCGACGAUACAUAGCCGACCUGAGAGGGUGAUCGGCCACACUGGGACUGAGACACGGCCCAGACUCCUACGGGAGGCAGCAGUAGGGAAUCUUCGGCAAUGGACGAAAGUCUGACCGAGCAACGCCGCGUGAGUGAAGAAGGUUUUCGGAUCGUAAAGCUCUGUUGUAAGAGAAGAACGGGUGUGAGAGUGGAAAGUUCACACUGUGACGGUAUCUUACCAGAAAGGGACGGCUAACUACGUG
rnacentral:rRNA from 1 species